rnacentral:lncRNA from 1 species
CAGGGUGUUAUGGUGACACACACAUGCAAGAGCACAACAUUCCUGAGCAUAAAGGGCCUUGAAUGCCACACCAGGGAGGAAUUUCGCUUCUGUGUGCGGUGGAAGCAGCUAGAGAAGCACUAUCAAGUCUGUGCCUAAGAAACUGCUCGGCUGACGAGGACUUGAGCUGCUGCAGGGAGGGAGCUGCAGAGGCCAGAGGCUCAUCGAGCAGACAGGCCUGGUCUUCGAGCAGCUCCGGAUGUGACGUCUCUGUUGGCCCCAACCCUGGGCCUGUGCCCCUCCCCUGUGGGGACAACGUGCCCAGGGCCCUGUGCCCCAGACAUGCUGAUGCUGGUCUCUGUCAUGCCAACUUGCUGAUCCGGCACCUGAGGAUCCGCACGGUUAGAAAAUUCUACGUCCCUUACUGUGUCAUGCUGGGGGAGAGAGAGAGAGAGAGAGAGAGAGAAGCAAAGCAAGCAAGCAUUUUUUCCUCAUUUGCCUAGAGUAAGAGCAACCUUGUUUUAUCUGGAAAAUAAUCAUUUGCUUGCAGGUAAAGUCCUUGAAUCAUCUUGAAGUGUAAAGUUCUGAAUGUCAGUCAGGGGGAAACAAAGACCCUCAAGCAGAGGCCGGCCUUGCCUUUAGUUACGGUUUCUCUACCAUAGAGCGGCUUAACCCUGGUAGCUCUUACAACCUUCAGUAAAAGUUAGUUAUUACUAACUUGAGAGGACAGGAUUGGUAAAAGAGAGCAAAAACGAUCCGCCACUCCUGAGCUCAUGCCCCACAUUGUGGAACCUGCACCUCCGUGAGGGGAGAGUGUUCAUUUGUGUAGUGACCACUGCAGCAGUCCAACACCUGUUCGGUGCCCAGUGUUUACCCCUUCGAGGGCCUGUGUGUUCCUGUGUUGGUCAUAAGGAUUCACCAAAGGCUUACAAUUCUAAUGCAGCACACUGUGUACCAAGCACACAAGGAUGAAUGAAUUACAGUGAAACAUGCUGUCCACUGACUCACAGCCCAUUGCAGAGAGCAGCAAAUAAAUAUGAGCUCACUCAGAUCAUGCGAAAGACUUGCACAAGGUAAGUGGUCACACUCUGAGCAUCCCCUGGGGCAGGGGCAUCCAACUUCCCACCCAAAGGUGGACAGCAGGGCAGCGUGGGGUGCAGGGCUUCAGCCAGAGCCCAGAGAGGAGAACACAGCACGCUCAAGGAGCAACCUGGUGGUCUAGUGGCUAGAGAGUUUCUUCAACACAUGGUCACAGAACCACUUACAUCCAAAUCCUUCAGCCUUUUGUGAAAAGUGCAGGUUCCCGGCCCGACAUGAGACUUACUGAAUGAGGAUCUGUGGAAGAGGCCUGGGAAUCUGCAUGUUAAAUGCUCUCAGGUAAUUUGAAGGGUUGCGGGAGAAUCAC